UUUGAUGACGAUCGAAGAUAAUAAGGGUUUCGCGUGUGCUAGUACGUAUAAAGAUUUUGCAUCACUUGGUCGGUCAGAUGACCAUAAUUCAGUAUUAUUAAUGUCACGCAUGACUGAUUCACACAUCGUUUAGGCUUUAAAUUUUACAUAUAUGUAUUUCAAGUACAGUCAGUCAUGCCAUGAUUUUGACUUGGACUUGAAAGAAAAAUAAUUGUGUUUAUGAAUAUUUCAUUGUUUUGCAAUAUGGAUAGUCUUUUUUAUUAUUUGUUGGCUACUUUAAAUUUUGUGAACAUUUAUCGAAGUAUCAAAUAAGAUUAAUCGACAGACGGGCAAGGAUGGGAAGUUAUCAGUGUGGGUCGUAACCUUGCGUUUUUUAUAUGAGUUAUAUUCAACUGUCCGAGGGGUAAUUUGUAAUUCAGCGAAGGAGUAUUCAUCAAAACCACGGAUAUACAAUUUCAAUAAAAAUACUUGAUAAGAUAAAUUAUGAAACCACUGGUGGUCCUAUUACUGCAAAUAGCCCUAUUGCCGAACAUUAAAAAGCUAUGGAUCUUCGAGAUAUUUCAUGCGGUUGAGGAGAAUUUGACUAUUUUGGACUCAGGUCAGACAAAUUUUAAAGCUAGCGGAUCUUCAGUUGAUUUUAAAAACUGAAUUCCUCUUACAAAAGAAAACUUUUAUAAUUGAGAAAAAAAUGACGCUGAGAAGAAAUCCCAUAAGUUUGUUAGAUUAGCUUUUCCCACUUUUUUAAAAAUAUCUCUGAUGAUGCAUCAAUAUUCUUUUUUUAAAUGAUAUUUCUUAAGAGCAAUUUCUCCACAUGAUUAAAAAUGUUAAGAAUAUAGUAAAAAAAAAAACGCUAAUAUGGAAAACACUAUAUUACUGACAAUCAACCUGUUUUACACUUUGAACUUCUAAGUAAAUUGCAUUUUCAUAGAAAUCCAUUAUACCUCUUUUUUAUUUGGAAAAAAAACGAAUCAAA